AUGCAAACGAAGCUGACUUCCAAGUAAAUAUUAUUAGUGCUCGUAUGAAAUCUCCAGACAAGGCUUCCUCAUGAAUCCAUGCCAGUAUUCUCCUUGAAAAACUUUUUCUUUUUUUUUUUUUUUUGGUAAUGAAAAUGUGUUGUAAUACAAAUUUGUUUACAAAUGUGUGCAUGGUGUGCAUAUAUUAAUAAUUUUUUUUCUUAUUUACUGAUUAAAUCAGUUAUUUGUAACCUGUAUAUUUGUCUGGAUAUUUUUUUUUGUAUCAGUAUGAUUAUUCUCAGGUUUUACAUGAUAAAGCAACGUUGCUGCUUUAAAUUGAAAUAAAAAGGAGCGUAAUGAUCACACUUCUAUUUGUAUUUCUUGUCGGAGAAAUACUCCGGGCAGGUCCCGUUAAGAGUGGGGAUUAAACACGGAAAUUUUAUUCUGAAAGAGAAUCGGGUAUGUUUCACAUUCUGACUCUAGUAGUAUAGUGGAAAUGCAGUGACUAGAAAUUGAUUUCUUUUUAACUGUUCUACACUAGACACUCUGUAGUGUUCAGUAUGAGCACGGUCAUGAGUUCUGCACCACUUCCUGUCCCAAUUAUGGUCACUUUGUCCUGUUUAGUCAAAAGAGUGAGGUUAAAAGCGUAGAUAUUUAAACAUUAAGUACACAAAAAAAAGUAUUUCUACUUUUGUUACUUCACAUCUGUCGAAAUUUCGUACGGAAAGCAGAGGUCUAUAGAUGGAGUCCCCAGAGAUGAGAUUUACAUAGUUUCCAUUCAUGCAGGCAUCACUUCUCGUAACGGUUGAUCUCAUUUGGUUUGUGUGUGUGUGUGCGCGUGCAGGGGGAGGAGAGCUUGUAUGCAAGUGUGCUGUGUAUCUUCAUAAAGAGCAGUGUCUGACCGUGAGUGUGUGCGUCUUGCCUGAAGAUUAACCUCUGAUCCUUUCUGUCCACCUUCUGGAAGAACAUCAUGAUCGUCAGCACUCUGAUUCUCCUCUUCACUCUUCCUGCAGGUCUGGAAACUCUCGUGCUUACACAGGAGAAA
ensembl:lncRNA